rnacentral:misc_RNA from 1 species
AACGCACCUUGCGCCUCUUGGCUAUUCCGAGAGGCAUGCCUGUUUGAGUAUCAUGAACACCUCAACUCUCACGGUUUGCCCGUGAUGAGCUUGGACUUCUGGAGGUUUUGCUGGCCCACGGUCGGCUCCUCUCAAAUCAAUCAGCUUACCAGUGUUUGGUGGCGUCAUGGGUGUGAUAACUAUCUACGCUUGUGGCCGUCCGCCAGGUAACCUUCAGCGAUGGAGGUUUGCUGGGGCUUACAAACGUCUCUCCCCAGCGAAGACAGCUUUUUGAACGUUCGAUCUCAAAUCAGGUAGGACUACCCGCUGAACUUAA